CCGCGCCACCCGCGGUUCUCCCGCUUCCCGGAGGACGAGCCCAGUGCAGAUGUGCCUCCCACCACCCCCCCUCACACACACACACCCCCCCUCAAAGGAUCUCUCCUCUGGACUUAAGAGAGAAGAGGAAAAGGCAGAUUUGGAGAAAUGAAAAUGAUUUAAGGAUGGCUCCGCGGCUUCUCUCUGCUGCCCUCCUCUGUAGCAGUGAAGCACUUACA